AAUAGAUACCCCGGUAGUCCACGCCGUAAACGAUGAGUGCUAAGUGUUAGAGGGUUUCCGCCCUUUAGUGCUGCAGCUAACGCAUUAAGCACUCCGCCUGGGGAGUACGGCCGCAAGGCUGAAACUCAAAGGAAUUGACGGGGGCCCGCACAAGCGGUGGAGCAUGUGGUUUAAUUCGAAGCAACGCGAAGAACCUUACCAGGUCUUGACAUCCUCUGACAACCCUAGAGAUAGGGCUUUCCUCUUCGGGGGACAGAGUGACAGGUGGUGCAUGGUUGUCGUCAGCUCGUGUCGUGAGAUGUUGGGUUAAGUCCCGCAACGAGCGCAACCCUUGAUCUUAGUUGCCAGCAUUCAGUUGGGCACUCUAAGGUGACUGCCGGUGACAAACCGGAGGAAGGUGGGGAUGACGUCAAAUCAUCAUGCCCCUUAUGACCUGGGCUACACACGUGCUACAAUGGAUGGUACAAAGGGCUGCAAACCUGCGAAGGUAAGCGAAUCCCAUAAAGCCAUUCUCAGUUCGGAUUGC
rnacentral:rRNA from 1 species